UCGAAUCCAACUCCUAGCGACCCCACGGACUGCAGCCUACCAGGCUCUUACGUCCAUGGGAUUUUCCAGGCAAGAGUACUGGAGUCGGGUGCCAUUGCCUUCUCCGAGGAAAGAUGCCUAGGAGUCUGCAACUGAACGAACCCCAGGUGAUCCUGUGAAAAGCCGGUUGAUGAACUGUGGUCUACUUGGGACCAUGUGAUGGAAUCCUGGAGUCAGGAAAUCGGAAGCCAGGGCAGGCAGACCUAAUCCUCAGCAGAACUCAGCAGAACCAGCUCAGGCUCUGUGCCCACCACCUCCUGCAGCCCCUCCCCCACCACCACUCAGGAAGUGAGAGGACCCACCUGUGUACUCCAAGACCUCAAGAACACAAACAGGAAAGCAGAGCUGGAGAAAGUGAGUUAACCAUGCCGCCUGCCUCAGUACUCACCAAGAACUGCCAGGAUAGUUCCAUCAACCCAUCAGUGCUGUGGUCACCUCAGUGGCUGCCUUCUUGCAUCCUAAGUCCUCGG